AAAAAAAAAGAAUUUAUUUCUUAUAAGACACGAAUAUAACAUCGCAGAUAAUCUAAUGGCAGAAAAAAAAAUAAAACAAAACCAUAGGAUAAAUAUUCUAAUAAGAACAAUGACUUUCGUCAAAAAUAGUAUUCAUGUUGCUCAUUGGAACACAACGCAAACUUGCGCAUGAAGCUUAAACCAAUAUGUCAUAGGUAUAAAGUUUCAGAGAGUUUUGACGGCUGAGAAAAAAAAAACCAAUGUUCCGAGCCGUCCCGUACCAAAUUACCAUUGGUAUCCGGCUUCGUUUAGAUUCCUUGUGUACCACUGUAAAAGAAAUUCUGAAUUGCAAGCUCUCGUGGCGCAAAAGUGCACUUAACCAAUUCUUUUACCCUCCAGACGUCAACCGAGUUAGUUUUUCUUCUAUCGAUCAGUGUGCUAGAUACAAAAAAAAAAGUUAAGCAAAGUAAAAUAAAGAAAAGUAAAAUAAAUUAAAAGAAAAAAAGAGUAAACUAGAAAACGAAAGAAAACUAAAGCUAAAUCCAAAAAAAAAAAAAAAAAACGAAAAAGACAAGAAGACAUAAAGGAUAAAUCAUCCCCCAAAAAUCAAAAAAAUAGGUACGUACUUAAUAGGAUACAUUCUUGUAGUAUCACCUAAAAAUUGAUUUCGUGUAGGAACUCGAAUUUGAGUCCUAGACCGAGGUGUGAAAGGAAAACCUCGCGGUCUUGUCCUGCAGAGGCACUAAAUUUCCACCACGAAACCUGAAUUUCAGAAAGAAAAGGAUUCUGAGCAGUGAACCAGCUUGUCCUUCACCAUCAGAGAGAAAACGAAUUUGGAUCCGUGCAAAAGAUUCAGAUAGAAAAAUUCGUCUCACAAAUAAUCUGAAGACAACUUCAACUUCACCAACUUUACGUCAAACACAGUUUUGACCUGGUCAAUUGUCCCAAAUAGGGAUUUAUCCAAUAAGAAGUCUUUCGCACUUCGGGCCAUCAAGUGGCCCCAACGUGGGAGAAUCUUUUGGACUUCGGGGGAUACAAAUCUUUUCGGCCACAGGUUACAGUCAGUGCAUCAUUGAAAAGGAAUAAUAAUUAUAAAAGUGCUAUAAAAAAAAAAAGAAGAAAAAGAAAAGAAAGGAAAAACUAGGCAGGAAAGAAAGUUUAAAAAAAAAAGGAAGUUGAAAGUACUUAAAAAGGAAAGGCCUAGGGAAAUUAAAUAAAUUCAAGGUGGUUUAAGAAAACUAAAGGCUAUUUAUUAAUAUUAGAAAAUAGUGCUGAAAAGGAGGUUAUAAAAAAAAAAAGAUUUAAAAAAAAAAUAGUUAGUAUAUUAAUAAAAAAAAAGUAAAACUACUUGUUCGAUCACUUAUUCUGAAAAAGAAAAAGAAAAAAAAAAUUGAAAAAAAAGAAAAAUCUACAAAAAUAAUAAGAAUAGGAAAUUAGAUUUAAGAUUCAGAAAAGGAUCUAGAAGAAAAAUUAGAGACAAAAAAAAAAUACAAAAGGAUGGUAGUGAUAGUUGAAAAUUACCACGAAAUAUAUAAAAAAAUAUACAUAAAUGAAUAAAAAUAAUAGUUUUGCUUCAGAGAAAUAAUUUUCGCUUCAAUGAAAUAAUUUUUUUUGACAAAGGUAAAAAGGAUUGAAAUGAAAUUUUGAUUAAGGAAACGAAUAAGAAUAAGUGAUUUUUGAAGAUCAAAAAAAAAAAACAUAAAAA